AAAGCGCGAUAGGUAAUGCGAAUUGCAGACGUGAGUCAUUGAAUCUUUGAACGCACAUUGCGCUGUUAGGUUCUCCUAACAGCAUGCCUGUGCGAGCGUCUAUCUUUCUCACCAAUGGUGGUUGCUGACGCUAUGCAGAGUGUCGAAAAGAAUGGAGAUGUACACGUUAGUGAAACUUGUACACCAAGCUUUCUUUAAAAGACCUCGUAUCAGGCAAGACUACCCGCUGAACUUAA
rnacentral:misc_RNA from 2 species